UACAGAGGGGGCAAGCGUUGUUCGGAAUUACUGGGCGUAAAGGGCGCGUAGGCGGCCUGUUAAGUCGAACGUGAAAUCCCCGGGCUCAACCCGGGAACUGCGUCCGAUACUGGCAGGCUUGAAUUCGGGAGAGGGAUGCGGAAUUCCAGGUGUAGCGGUGAAAUGCGUAGAUAUCUGGAGGAACACCGGUGGCGAAGGCGGCAUCCUGGACCGAGAUUGACGCUGAGGCGCGAAAGCCAAGGGAGCAAACGGG
rnacentral:rRNA from 1 species